ACAAGGUACGAAUCCUAUCUCCCUGACGUUGUAGUGGAGUGGAUCGAAGCACUGGUUCCUAUACCCCUGAAGAUGCAGUAGGAAUGAACGAGGCUACCUGAGGAAGAAAAGCACUGAUAAAGUUGAAGCUCAGUAAGAUCGGGCACAAUUGGGCAUUUAGUCUUUGCUCUAUUCCCAUUACACGAUAAUGAGCAAAGAGGGGCAGCUGUAGAGCCCAAUUUUUGCCCGGCCCGCUAAAGAAACCAAAAAGAAAAAAACAAAAACAAAAUUAACCCCAGCCCAAUACCCUUUGGCCCAAUAGACCCAAGCCAUUAACCUUGUACAGCCCAAAAACAAGAAACCCUAAGCAGUGGAAGCAAACUGGUGCCGCAACUGCUGCCCCAUUGCGCGCCUCCAUCUACACGCACACCUCCGCGAACAUCGUGCACGUCACACCUGCAGCAAC
rnacentral:lncRNA from 1 species